GAUUAUUUCUCUGUAGGUCCUUUGAACUUUGAGCGCGUUUCAAGUCCAGUCCCUUGCAUCCCUUUUUUUAGAUUUUUGCGAUUUUGACCCCAAAAUUUGAACCUGGAUGCGAUUCGAUCCUCGGCCUAUUUAACCGAUUUUUUAUUUUUUAUUAUUUAUUUAUCGUUUAUUUUUUCAUUUUUUAUUUUAAUAUUUUAUAUUUUACGUUCUUUUUUAAUAAAAAUC
rnacentral:lncRNA from 1 species